rnacentral:rRNA from 1 species
CGGAGGAAAAGAAACCAACAGGGAUUGCCCUAGUAACGGCGAGUGAAGCGGCAACAGCUCAAAUUUGAAAUCUGGCCGCAAGGUCCGAGUUGUAAUUUGUAGAGGAUGCUUUUGGGCAGCCUUCCGGUCUAAGUUCCUUGGAACAGGACGUCAUAGAGGGUGAGAAUCCCGUAUGUGACCGGUUUGGCACCCUACGUAAAGCUCCUUCGACGAGUCGGGUUGUUUGGGAAUGCAGCCCUAAAUGGGAGGUAAAUUUCUUCUAAAGCUAAAUACCGGCCAGAGACCGAUAGCGCACAAGUAGAGUGAUCGAAAGAUGAAAAGCACUUUGGAAAGAGAGUUAAAAAGCACGUGAAAUUGUUGAAAGGGAAGCGCUUGCAAUCAGACUUGGUUUCGGCUGUUCAGCCGGUCUUCUGACCGGUCCAUUCAGUCGUUGUCAGCCCAGCGUCAGUUUUGGCGGCCGGAUAAAGGCCUUGGGAACGUAGCUCUUUCGGGAGUGUUAUAGCCCAGGGUGUCAUACGGCCCGCCGGGACUGAGGUCCGCGCUUUUGCUAGGACGCUGGGGUAAUGGUUGUAAGCGGCCCGU